GGCGUCGUAGCUCAGUUGGUAGAGCAGAGGACUGAAAAUCCUUGUGUCACUGGUUCAAUUCCAGUCGAUGCCACAA
rnacentral:tRNA from 2 species